GAACGUUGAAGACGACGACGUUGAUAGGCCGGGUGUGUAAGCGCAGCGCUGCGUUGAGCUAACCGGUACUAAUGAACCGUGAGGCUUAACCUUACAACGCCGAAGGUGUUU
rnacentral:rRNA from 1 species